CUUGACAUCCAGCGAACUUCCAGAGAUGGAUUGGUGCCUUCGGGAACGCUGAGACAGGUGCUGCAUGGCUGUCGUCAGCUCGUGUUGUGAAAUGUUGGGUUAAGUCCCGCAACGAGCGCAACCCUUAUCCUUUGUUGCCAGCGAUUCGGUCGGGAACUCAAAGGAGACUGCCGGUGAUAAACCGGAGGAAGGUGGGGAUGACGUCAAGUCAUCAUGGCCCUUACGAGUAGGGCUACACACGUGCUACAAUGGCGCAUACAAAGAGAAGCGACCUCGCGAGAGCAAGCGGACCUCAUAAAGUGCGUCGUAGUCCGGAUCGGAGUCUGCAACUCGACUCCGUGAAGUCGGAAUCGCUAGUAAUCGUGGAUCAGAAUGCCACGGUGAAUACGUUCCCGGGCCUUGUACACACCGCCCGUCACACCAUGGGAGUGGGUUGCAAAAGAAGUAGGUAGCUUAACCUUCGGGAGGGCGCUUACCACUUUGUGAUUCAUGACUGGGGUGAAGUCGUAACAAGGUAGGCGUAGCGAG
rnacentral:rRNA from 1 species